CUCCCAUAGAAGGAAGCGAACUUCGAGCAGAGGGUAAUGGAAAUGCACUAGUAGAUUGCUGAAUGAUGUUUAGUGAGCUAAAAGGGUCUUCGCUACCAAAGCCAUUGGCAUCUCCUUGUGGCCUGCUGUAAUUGUAAAAAGUAGAUACUGAUCUCAAAGCCAAACAAGCUCAUUGCAUGUAGAAGCCGCUUUAAGAAAAAUGGAUAUGAAGUAAGACAACAGAGGACAAAAAUGUUACCUAGAAGAUGGUGUGUUCAUAUGGAGUAGUUGUUGUCCCAUGUAUGCACCUGGAUGUUAGAAUUGAAAUUAAGCAAAUUGGUGGAUUAGUUAGAAGAAUAGGAAAAGUAAAAUUAAAUUUACCAGAAGAAGUGGCUGAUCUGAAGGAAGAAGACCACAAAGGCGUUACAGAUGCAUAAGCUGGUGCUUGAGAUGCCAUGAACCCAGAAGAGUUUGUGUCAAUGCUGUAAGUAGGCACUAAAGCACCGGUAUUGGACGUGUUAGUAAGUCCUGCAAACUUCAAUAAGCAAUAAAUGCUUAACACAAGUUUUUCAAGCUUUGGUUAGAAAUUUUAUUUUUGGAGAGACAAAAAGCACUCAAGCAUAGCACUUAGAUACAGAAAUUCGAAAAAAAAAAUACGAGCACAUAAAUCAAUUGCUAAAUGUGUGAACAAAUGGGUAUUAUGAUAUAUAAAUUUUACUUCUUGAUCUA